rnacentral:rRNA from 1 species
AUUGAACGCUGGCGGCAGGCCUAACACAUGCAAGUCGAGCGGAUGAAGGGAGCUUGCUCCUGGAUUCAGCGGCGGACGGGUGAGUAAUGCCUAGGAAUCUGCCUGGUAGUGGGGGAUAACGUCCGGAAACGGGCGCUAAUACCGCAUACGUCCUGAGGGAGAAAGUGGGGGAUCUUCGGACCUCACGCUAUCAGAUGAGCCUAGGUCGGAUUAGCUAGUUGGUGGGGUAGUGGCUUACCAAGGCUUUGACGGGUAGCCGGCCUGAGAGGGUGACCGGCCACAUUGGGACUGAGAUACGGCCCAGACUCCUACGGGAGGCAGCAGUGGGGAAUAUUGGACAAAGGGCGAAAGCCUGAUCCAGCCAUGCCGCGUGUGUGAAGAAGGUCUUCGGAUUGUAAAGCACUUUAAGUUGGGAGGAAGGGCAGUAAGUUAAUACCUUGCUGUUUUGACGUUACCAACAGAAUAAGCACCGGCUAACUUCGUG